CAUGACCAGUGGAAGCUUCGAAGAGCUAUUGCCAAUUUCCACCCUCUCUCUGGAAACUGUCAUUAGGGUUAGGGAAACUGUCAUGAGAUCUGCAUAUUUUAGAUAGAGGCUGCUUGCCUUAUUUGGGCACCUAAUGAAAAAGACAUGGAGGCCAGGUGCGGUGGCUCAUGUCUGUAAUCCCAGCACUUUGGGAGGCCAAGGCGAGUGGAUCACCUGAGGUCAGGAGUUCGAGACCAGCCUGACCAACAUGGCAAAACCCCGUCUGUACUAAAAGUGCAAACACAAAGGGAACUGCGUGGCUUGUUUCUACCUGAACAUUGUCAAGUGAUUUCAUCCUUUGAAACACAGUUGUGAAGUGUGUCCAGCAGUCUGAGAACAAGAAGAAGAAGAAAAUCUAAUCCUUCAGGGUGUCUGUGUGCCAGCCCUGCUCUCAGCACUUCCCAUGUGGAACUCCUUUACUUCUCCUAACAACUCCAUGACAUGGGUUAGACUGUGAUUGUUCCCAUAUUGUUGGUAGGGAAACUGAGGCAUGCAGGUGUUACAGAGCUCUCUCAAGUGGCAAGCUUUCUGGGUGGUUACAGAGUGGCAGAGCUGGGGUAUCCCAUGAUGUCACCACACUGCUAUAUGGAAAAGAACAUUAAUCGAGCACCUACGUGCUUGAUUCUCUUAAUUCUGUGACUGAACUCUCAAAACACCCUGGAGCACUGCGUGUUUUGAAAUAUACAAAUAGUGGGAAACGAAAUCUUUGUUCUGGAUGCAGUUAUAAUUUGGAAAGCGAGGAAAUAAAUUAUAACAAGGGGAAAAAACAGGCCCAAUGACGCAGGAAGCAGAGGGAGGGGAGAGGCUGGAGAGAAGAAAAAGAUCCAGAGAUCUCCUGCAAGCACCAGAAAGCUCACCACCAAAAAUAAUCACAGCAAACCCCAUAACUCUGGAAGAUGAGGAUUACUGUAUGCAAGUUACUGAGGCUUAGAUUCAAUUUCUUGGUCAAGAGUCACAGAUCUUGUUUCUGAGGCAAAGGAUUUGCCCUGAUUAUUGUUACGGUAGGUAGGUAGUCAGACAUGAGCAGAGCAGGAGAGCGCCCCCACCAACCCCCAGCCAGGAAUGCCAGGUGACCAUCAUGUGAUAGUCAGGCAGUUGUUAAACUGCCUCUCUAAAAUAAUAAUUGGUUGCAGCUUGUAUCUAGGAAAGGGCAGUCUCCUAAUAAAUUGAAACACCUGAAACUGGU
ensembl:lncRNA LINC00964 long intergenic non-protein coding RNA 964